rnacentral:rRNA from 1 species
AUGUAUCAAAUGAGAAAGUUGUGGUGUGCUCCAUAUCUUGAGGGGCGUUGUUUCCUAGGAUUGAGCAGCAAUCAGAGGAGUGAGAGCUUGAACUCUGUGCUACAUACGCAUCUUGAGGGUAAGAUGUCGUUGUUUGAAAUGCUAGAGCACUAUGAGCGUUGCCUUGCGUCGCGACGGAUUAACGAAGCUCUCCAUGACGUCGAAGCCUUGCAGUCCGUUCCAUUUACAGAGGAAAAUGCUUCGCCGCUUGAGAAACACGCCGCAACAGUUUUCACACCUAGUGUCUUUAAGAUGGUCUUAUGGAGCAUAGAUGCUGUCAGCAAAUGUCAGAUCAGAGAGAUACUAGAUGGAUCAGAAGAUUCCACUUAUGUUGUGUCCAAGCAGGAAAGAAUGGAUAAAAAGUUUGGAGUGCGCAUUGAAGAGCAAGGAGGUCUUUUGCACAGGGUGAGUUGUUCUUGCCGUAAGCUGGAAUGCGCAGGCACACCAUGUUCCCACAUUUUUUACAUAUUGGGGAUUUUAAAAUAA